rnacentral:lncRNA from 1 species
CAGCAAUACUAAACUGAUACACAAAGGAUCCCCGUACUUCAUCAAAAUAUCAAUGUUGUCCAUGACACACAAAGAACCCAGCUGUAGUUUAAUUCAGCAUCACAGUCCCAACAUGUUUUAAAACAUGUUCCAGGCUUUUGGUCCCAGGAUUAUUCAACCUAGCUCAUAAAAGAAAACAAUAUUGCAUUUCUAAGUAUUGGCUCCUAGAAUUGGCAAGUUUAGUCAAGAAAAGCUGGAAUGCCGUUAAAACAACACCCUGUCAUCUUUCAAUCAGUCCUUAGCUGAAGUUAAAAUCCCACUCAUUCUGCAUGAUCCAGGCCUCUGUAGCAUAGAGUGAGUAGCCCCUUAACAAGAACCAAAAUGGAGGGUACGGAUGAGGCUCAGAUCGUCACCACCUGGAGAAUAGAGACAGUGACUGAGUCACCAGGAAAUCUGUCCCCUGCUCAUCCCAGAAUCCCCGAGCUUUGACUUUUUAAGAGAACAUGUGACAGAUAAUGCCAUCUGAGAAGGUCCAGCUUAGGCAACUCAGUCAUCAAUGUGUCCUCGAGAAGAGCAUAUCCCCAAAUUGGAAAAUAAUCCUUCAGGGCAUCUGAACAUAACCACAUUUGGCUUACUUUGUGAAGCAGUUGUCUGAAUAGAAUAAGACUGGCUUGGAACGAGGAUUCACAGAGCAACCAAAUAAAGAUGAUUGAGUGAAUGGCUAAAGAAAUAAAUAUGUUCGAAUCUGUACCCAUCUCAUGUCUUUCCUGAUGUUUAAUUUCCUUUAUUUCUUAGGAUUGCCUCCUUUACUGUAUGUUUUCCACUGAGAUGAAGAUUUUGGUCAUUUCCUCAUUCAUGUUCCUGCUUUUCAAAACCCAAGCAAGAAAGGAAACUUCUACAGUGACUUUCUCAUUAUGAAAUCUUAGCAUUCACUAGUCGGCCAUAAUGGAAAACCAGCCAAAUGGACACAUAUACACUGGUCUGUACCCGCAGAGAAAGAAAUGCAAAUCUCUGUGAUCAGAAAACUAUCCUAUCUUGUACAUUGUUAAAAGUCUGCCUCCAAAAAGUUUACUUCUGGAAUACUGUAAUUGAAUAGAAUCAGGGAUCCUACCUGUGUCCUUCAACUUUCACAUCUUGUCUACUCAAGUAAGGGUUGAAUUUGCAUGACUAUAUCUAAGGUUCGAGGGCUUACCUGUUGGCAGUAGACCCAGUAGUCUAUGAAUGGAAAUGGGCAAACCUGUGACCUCCCAAAACUUUAAUAUGAAAGUUUUGUUUGUGUAUACUCAUGGCAUUAUUCUUUUAAUAAAGAGAUAAUCUAUAUAGUUUUCUUUUUUAAAAGA